UACGGGGGGGGCAAGCGUUGUUCGGAAUUACUGGGCGUAAAGGGCGCGUAGGCGGCCUUCUAAGUCGGACGUGAAAUCCCUCGGCUUAACCGAGGAACUGCGUCCGAGACUGAAAGGCUUGAAUCCGGGAGAGGGAUGUGGAAUUCCAGGUGUAGCGGUGAAAUGCGUAGAUAUCUGGAGGAACACCGGUGGCGAAGGCGGCAUCCUGGAUCGGCAUUGACGCUGAGGCGCGAAAGCUAGGGGAGCAAACGGG
rnacentral:rRNA from 1 species